rnacentral:snRNA from 1 species
GUUGUCUGGAACAACGUAUGAUAAAGUUAAAUAACUACGGAGAAGAAUAACAUGGUUCUUUACGCAAAGAUGACACGUGUAAUCGAGAAGCGUAUUCAACUUUU